CUUUGUUUUGGUUUUUCUAUCAUUGUUAUUGCUGUUGAAUUUUAUUUCCCCUUUUCAUUUUUGUUGGAUAGUGCAAAGGAAAGAAAUAUUUGGAUCCUUUCGAUAUGGCAUUUCUAUUUUUUGGUGGGUAGGUUGGGAAACAUUUAUGAAUGUUGCUUUUGGAUGGAUCAAUGUGAAGGACGUUGCAAAUGCGCAUAUUCUGGCAAAUGGACAUGCUUUGGAUAAUGGAAGAUAUUGUUUAGUUGAAAGAGUGAUACAUUUCUCUAAACUGAAAUUGAUGGAAACAAAUAUGGGAAUGCUCUUAUAUGGCAGGAUAAUAUCUUAUCUGGAGUUCUUAUCGAUGAAAAGAGACUUCUUGGUGCGGUUAUGUUGGAGGCAUGCACCAUAAUCGAAUCUUCUUUGACAAGUAUAAUCCAGGUUAUUUCGGUAAGUUAGUUGAGGGGAAGUGGGUUAUCAAGGGAGCAGUUGAUGUAAACACCGGUGCAAACCCUUCUGCCAAAGGUGGAGAAGAUAAGGGUGUUAAUGACACUGUUGUUAGGGUGGUUGACAUUGUUGAUGUAUUCAGACUUCAGUAGCAACUUCCUUGAGAAGCAAUUUGUUUUGUUAAGAAGUAUAUUAAGUUGUUGACUCCCAAAAUAGAUACUGAGAAUCAAGAGCACUUCAAACCUUGGCAUAAUGAUGGUAGCUUGAUCUUUUCCUACUACAAGGAUAGUGCUGCUGAUACAACAUUUCUUUAUUUUGCUCAUUCUUUGAAGGAGAUAAGUGUUAAGUGUUGUAUUGCGCUUGAUUUUCUAUCUCU